rnacentral:lncRNA from 1 species
AAGGAUAAAUUAAUCAGCGGACAAUUUAAAUGUUAACCUAAUUAAAGUAAGGUUAGAAUAUGUCUGUGUGUGAAACACGAGAGGAAGAAUAUACAGCCAAAUUUCACAUAUUUAAUUAGAGAUAGUAUAAAAAUUGCUUUUCUCUUUUUGAAAUGUAAAUAUCCAAAUAAGGGAUUUUCUUGAUAUAGUUAUAUCUUUCAUAAGUAGCCU